rnacentral:rRNA from 1 species
UGAUCCUGGCUCAGAACGUACGCUGGCGGCACGCCUAACACAUGCAAGUCGAACGAAGUAGCAAUACUUAGUGGCAGACGGGUGAGUAACAUGUAGGUAUCUGCCCUUUGGCCUGGAAUAACACGAGGAAACUUGUGCUAAUACCGGAUAAGUCUUUACAGAGAAAGCUUUAUGCACCAUUGGAUGAGCCUGCACUUGAUUAGUUUGUUGGUGGGGUAAUGGCCUACCAAGACUGUGAUCAAUAGCUGAUUUGAGAGGAUGAUCAGCCACAUUGGGACUGAGACACGGCCCAAACUCCUACGGGAGGCAGCAGUGGGGAAUCUUGCACAAUGGAGGAAACUCUGAUGCAGCGAUGCCGCGUGAGUGAAGAAGGCCCUUGGGUUGUAAAGCUCUUUCGUCGGGGAAGAAAAUGACUGUACCCGAAUAAGAAGGUCCGGCUAACUUCGUGCCAGCAGCCGCGGUAAUACGAAGGGACCUAGCGUAGUUCGGAAUUACUGGGCUUAAAGAGUUCGUAGGUGGUUGAAAAAGUUAGUGGUGAAAUCACAGAGCUUAACUCUGGAACUGCCAUUAAAACUUUUCAGCUAGAGUAUGAUAGAGGAAAGCAGAAUUUCUAGUGUAGAGGUGAAAUUCGUAGAUAUUAGAAAGAAUACCAAUUGCGAAGGCAGCUUUCUGGAUCAUUACUGACACUGAGGAACGAAAGCAUGGGUAGCGAAGAGGAUUAGAUACCCUCGUAGU